rnacentral:ncRNA from 1 species
CAGGGCUUGCGCAGACGCCCCGCCGCAUCGCUGGCCCCGCGCCAUCCAAGUUCUGC